AUUGAACGCUAGCGGGAUGCUUUACCCAUGCAAGUCGACCGAUUGGCGUAAGGGUGAGUAAUAUAUCGGAACGUGCCCAGUAGCGGGGGAUAUCUACUCAAAAGACUGGCUAAUACCCCCUACUAUUGGAGCGGCCGAUAUCGGAUUAGCUAGUUGUGGGGGUAAAGGCUCACAAAGGCAACGAUCCGUCGCUGGUUUGAGAGGACGACCAGCCACACUGGGACUGAGAAACGGCCCAGACUCCUACGGGAGGCAGCAGUGGGGAAUGUUGGACAAUGGGGGAAACCCUGAUCCAGCCAUCCCGCGUGUAUGAGAAGGCCUUCGGGUUGUAAAGUACUUUUGGCUGAGAAGCGGUAUCUGCAGAAUAAGCACCGGCUAACUACGUGCCAGCAGCCGCGGUAAUAC
rnacentral:rRNA from 1 species